AGGAGGAACAGCCCCAGUGGCGGGGCAGCUCUGGAGUCCUGGAUUCAGCUCCGGCAGGAACUCCGUCUGCAGGGCCUGGAGGCUCCGGGGCGGG
rfam:Canis lupus familiaris chromosome 29, whole genome shotgun sequence.